ensembl:antisense Gm31749 predicted gene, 31749
AAUGCCAAGUGGGUGUGGCAGCCUAUUAUUCUAGCCUCAAAGGGAGACACAGGAUGCCCCAAGCAAGCAAGCAAGCAGGCUAGAAAUACUAGCCACAACAGGAAGCUCUGGGUUUUAUUGAGACCUUACCUCAGUGUGUAAGGUACAAGAGUGACUGAGGCAGAGUCUCAGCUUCAUCCUCAAGCAUCCAUAUGCAUAUGCACACAUAGCCUUGCAUACCACAUGCAGAUGCACACAUAACCAUGCAUACCACAUGCAAGCACACAUAGCCUUGCAUACCACAUGCAGAUGCACACAUAACCAUGCAUACCACAAACACAAAGAAAGGGAUAAGGUAAGAGCUGAGGGCUUGGACAUUUGUAAAGCAAGCAGGGAAAGUGUCACAAAAGAGGCCCUCGUGAACAGGAAAGUUACUAAAGACCUAAAGUGAGAAGACGCCUUUAUCCAGUGGGCUGUAUACAGAAGAUUCUUGUUCCAGCGGAGUCCUGGCUAUCUAAGCACAAAAAGUCUACUGUGCUGGGCAUGUCAGCACAGCACCUGGGAUCCCAGCACUGAGGAGGGAAGUCAAGAGGAUCAGUAGUUCAAGGCCAGCCUGGAC